ensembl:lncRNA
GCCAGAGGGGAGGGGGGAUUGAACCCCUAAAAUGCACUGCAGAGCUGAUACUUGUCGACACCCAGGAUGAGGAGAUGGUGCAGGGAUAUUUUUGUUGCAAUGCAGUUGAUAAUCAUAGCAUUCAUAGCCUGGGACGACGAGAUCAGCACGCCUCAGUGGGGGAGAGGGGGGGAGGUCUGCAUCGCACUGGAACCACAAACCAAGCCAUACUCAUUCACAUUAAUAUGGUAAUGCCCCAACAAGGCCUACUAUUGAUUUGAAAUGUAAAAACACAAAAAUAAAUGUAAACCACUUCAUGUAUGGAAUGAUAUGUGUUAGGUGUAGAAUCAGGCAUUGUUUUAUUUCAUUUGAAUUGUCCUUUGCUUAGUCUAGCGAGUGUAAGGAUUGCUUUUGUCGGCCGGUUGGAUUGAAGGUAUAGCCUGAAUAGCAAACGAGAAGGAAAAUCACAAACAAAUAUGCAAAAAGAAGCCAAGCGGAGUAGUCAAACUCCAUCCCUAUUGGAGGAGGAAGGCAGUGGUCUAUGGUGUCACUGCAGACCGACUUUUGGAAUCCGUAACACACAAGAAAUUGACAAUCGAUUUAUUCCCGGUCCACGAUUGUUAUUAAUUAGCCUGACUUGUAUUUGACCAUCCGUUGAAAGGUGCUCUAAAUUGUCCCUAAGAAAGUAUUUGUUAUUUAUUUUGAGAGCUAUAAACCUUCCUCAACUAAAGUGAAUUCCCCCUGCCCUGCUCGGAAUAUAAAGUAGUUUCUCCCUGAUGUAUGGCUUACCAGGUGUCGUAUCUCAGCUGUCUUACGACAGAUCAGUAACUAAGUGUCUCUAAGUGUCUCAGAACACUCUACCUCUCUCUCUCAUGCUCAAUUCAGUUUCAGUUCACCAGUUCAUACCUUAGAAGCUUUGGAGGGUGAUCUCCCUGGCUCGGAGGCCCUGUGAUCACCAGUGGGAGCAGACUCUAUAUCAGGGGAGUUCUCGGUUUCCUUUAUAGCAAGCCGGGCAUGCACUGCUGGUUCUGCUACUAUAACACGGUCAUGAAGUACUGGGUGGGAUGGGCUCCGUCACAGAUGGUGUUGUCCCAGAGGCUUGGCUUCAGUUCUUGGUUCCCGUUUGCAUUCUCGACAGAGCAGCUCAGAGCUCAACUUGCUAAAGCUACCCCUAACCCUGACGUCCAUCUCAAGAAAGAAUCUGAAGGAUGCCAUACAAAAAGGCCUCCCCGCUCAACACAUUGAGAGGGUGUGUAGACUGAACUGUCAUUAAUCAGCGUUUUGACAACAACAACCGCCUGACAGCAAAGACUAAAUUCCCUGUAGUUGAGUCCACCCUGAAAAUAGUGGAUCUCUGUUUUCUGAGUGUGAUUAGGGAAUUUUAUGGGGCAUGUGGUCAGAUUAUUGUACGGAGAGUUUUCUACAGUCAUAUUUAUUUAAUGUAUGGUCUGAGUGGAGUGGAUGCUCAUACACUUGGUAAUUCCUGAUUAAUAGCUUAUUAGGCCGAGAAAUAAACCCUGGAGUAUCGCCGAAAGGCGGGGCUUAACUGUUUUGGGGCCUUUCUAUUGGUCGCUAUGUUUCUGACAUUGAGACAUCUUGUCAAGGGUUUCCAAUGCUUUUGGGUUCAGAGUUUCUCCCCAUCUUCAACACUUACUACUUUUUAAAAGAGAAAAUGGCAAAUGACAAUCUCUGGAUAUGUGUAAUUUGCUCACUGGUUAAAUCCAUUCCUUGUCUGUGUGCAGCUCUUGUACACAGUUCUUCUGAGCAUGUUAGCCAUAAGAACAGCCAUCCUCCCACUGACUCAUCAAGAACCUCACAACAGGCCAACAGACAUUUUUAUCUGGUUUCUAUUUUGAAUAUAAUUAUAUUAUUAAUAUUUUUGUUCUUGAUAUAUUUUGUAGUGAAGCAAGUGAAGUGUUUUUUUUAGAAUCUAUAUUUUGUACAAUACUCACCAACACCUCACUGUGUCUGUGCUGAGCGUUCGGAAAACCUGUACCAGUACUGACCAGUAUCACUGCUUACCUUGCCCCUAACCCUAACCCAGUACUGACCACUGCUUACCUAACCCUCCCCUAGCCAACGUGUGCUUGGUUCCCUCUGGGAGGUCCUGACCCUCCACCAGAUGCCCACUGAUGGUUCUUACCUGUUCUAAUCAUGUCUGGUGCAACGGUCACAACAGCCAGUGGUCAACUCUUGCCAUAAACGCGUACUGUUAAUAAAACAAGGGAUAUGGGAGACGCGUGAAUCAUAGCUCGCUCGUACAUUGUGCCUUUUCACAUAAUGACCUCAUGUUUGGUGUGUUCUUUUUCUCCACAUCUCUCGCUCAAACACAAAUGAUCUCCGGUCUCGAAAGGUAGUGACAUUAGGAAGUCUCAGUCUGGGAGCAAACAGGGGAAACCCAUCCCCCCCAGAGCUCAAAGCGUUCCUCACAUGGAUGGCUGAAUCAAACGCAGAGUACAUGUAUAUUUCAGAGGAUCCGGGUGAAGGUCUCGCCUUCAUUUCUCCAUGUCUGAACGGUAAAGCUUUAGUCCCGGUGUCUUGAGCUCGGACGAGAAGCAAAAGGAGCAGUGAUGCUGGUCGGGCCCUCCCCCCCCCCCACGCUAACAAGCGAUAACACUUCUGGAAACACAUUGUCUUUGUCGUUGAAUGCACAGCUUUCUGCAUACAUAUAAAACGAAAAAUAAAUGAAAAAUAAAAAAAGAAGAGGAGUAGAAUCCUAAGCUUUUUUAUUUUUCUAUCAGGGCGUGAUGUAUAGCUACUACUGUCAAAAUCCAAAAUGGCCACCCAAGCCACUGUUUUACUUUUUAUUUUAUUUUUUAUUUUAUUUUUAUUGUGGUGCUUUGUAUUCCUUUUUUAAUUUUGUUGAUAGCAAUUCCUGUUCUUUUUUUUUAAGUUGUCUUCUUUGUCCGUCACUGUUACCCAACGUUCUCCUCAAACCGACCGUCUGGGCUCGUUCCAGUUAGACCAAUGGCUCAGCUAUAUCUCCUCAUGAUUUUACUCAGUGAAAGUGUGAUGUUUACAUGUACAGAUUUGUGCAAUUCUUUUUAGGUUGAGUUUCUUUCCAUUUUCCAUGUCAACUCUUUCUUCUCAUCCUCCUCUCUCCAUGUUUCCCCUCCUGUGUUAUGGUCCAACUCCUUCCUUGCAUAUUAAAGGGAAAUGGGACUCUGUCUAAAUGUGCUUAUCACCAUUGUAGAACGAAGCCUAUUGCCAAAGGGGUACCUUGACACUUGUGGAUCCUGGCCAAUUACUUGUAUUGAACUUUUCUUUCUGAAGUUCAACUUUUUGUUGCAAAGUUCAUAAAUGUCUUAUCAUUUAGCCAGCAUUUGUUGUGAAGACCUUGUGGUUUAUAUUGGUAAACCAAAAUGUAUCGUAGGCAAAAUUAGUGGUUUACGUCGAAGUAUGAAGAUGACAAACCAACUCACACGUUUGUUGGUUGUUGUAUUGUUUCAAUCAUAAUUGUUUUGGGUCACUUGCAUUGUUUUCAUUUGUUUUCCAAAAGGCAACAAAGUUUCAAAAUGACAAAGUUCCCCUUUAAAAACUAUGAUUGUUGAAGCCGGAUGUCAAAAAGUGUGUUGGUUUGGCUCUAGGGGGUGACCUUUAACCUCUCAGCUAGCCUAAGCAAGUCAAUGUGGGGUCACAGCUGGUGUUUCCACAACCCAUUGGAACUAAAUCCUCAGUGAAUGAUAAGCCAUUGUUUGACCCUCAUUGGGUCUCCUUAGUCUAUUAGUAUAUUUAGCUCAACUUUAAUCUGCAGAAGAUGAAAAUCAACCUCAGGAAAUAAUAGGACAUCACUUUUGUAAAACACAGCCCAUUUCCCGCCCUCUUUGAUACCAUAUAAAUUAUAACGGAUUCUUUUUUUAUAAAUGUAUUGUGUUUAUGAUUCUAUAUAACAGUGGAUACCUUUUUCCAGUACCUGUGGAUAAAUAUUUUGAUUCUUUAGAAAAGUGUUAAUAUAUAUGUGAAGCAAACAACAACAAAAAAAAGAUGUUAAAAAUAAGAAUUCUCAAUUUUUUUGUUGUCUACUUGUGAACAGUAUGGGCAAAGUAGGACAAGAACAUAUCACUGAUCAAUGACCACCAACCAAUUAUUGAAAAAUGGAGCUUCUUAUUUUCAUGUGAUGUCACUGCUAGGCUGAAAUCUUUCCAGACUAAAAAAAAGAUGUGACCAUUUUUGUUUUUUUUCGUUUCUCUCCCAAGUUGUGCGUCACAAAGCUAAUUAUACUAAUAAAACUGUGUGCUAUCUAUCAACAGAUUUACGCCUUUGUGAUUUUUUUUCCUUGGAUAAUCACUUCUGACCACACUAAGACAAACAAAUCGUGGUCUUUAAGACUUUAUAAUGGAAACAAAUUCCAGCGAUAAUCCAGUUCAAUCAGAAACCACCAACUUGUGAUGGAUUAAGGGAAAAAUGGUGUGUUUGGAUGGUCCUUCCCUUAAGAGAAGUCUUGAGGGU